UAGUCCACGCCGUAAACGAUGAUCACUCGUUGUAUGCCUUUUUUGGUAUGCGACUGAGCGAAAGCAUUAAGUGAUCCACCUGGGGAGUACGUUCGCAAGAAUGAAACUCAAAGGAAUUGACGGGGGCCCGCACAAGCGGUGGAACAUGUGGUUUAAUUCGAUGAUACGCGAGGAACCUUACCUAGGCUCUAAUGCGCGCGCCACCUGGUGAAAACCGGGGUUCCUUCGGGACGCAAAGCAAGGUGCUGCAUGGUUGUCGUCAGCUCGUGCCGUGAGGUGUUGGGUUAAGUCCCGCAACGAGCGCAACCCCUAUUCUUAGUUGCCAGCAUGUAAUGAUGGGGACUCUAAGAAGACUGCCUACGCAAGUAGAGAGGAAGGCGGGGAUGACGUCAAAUCAUCAUGGCCUUUAUGCCUAGGGCGACACACGUGCUACAAUGGCGAGUACAGAGGGUAGCCAACCCGCGAGGGGGAGCCGAAUCCCAGAAAGCUCGUCUCAGUUCGGA
rnacentral:rRNA from 1 species